UGGGGAAUUUUGCGCAAUGGGGGAAACCCUGACGCAGCGACGCCGCGUGGAGGAUGAAGGCCUUCGGGUCGUAAACUCCUGUCAGAGGUGAAGAAUGCCCGCAAGGGUUUGACGGUAACCUCAGAGGAAGCCCCGGCUACCUACGUGCCAGCAGCCGCGGUAAUACGUAGGGGGCAAACGUUACUCGGAAUUACUGGGCGUAAAGGGUGCGUAGGCGGCUGGGAAAGUCAAGGAUGAAAUCCCGAGGCUCAACUGCGGAACGGUCCUUGAAACUACUCGGCUUGAGGAUAACCGAAGAGAACGGAAUUCCCGGUGGAGCGGUGAAAUGCGUAGAUAUCGGGAGGAACACCUGAGGCGAAAGCGGUUCUCUAGACUACUCCUGACGCUGAGGCACGAAAGCUAGGGGAGCAAACGG
rnacentral:rRNA from 1 species